AUGCAGUCUGACCGGGCACUUGGCAACCAAAAGGAAAGAGAAGAACAUUUCAUUGGUAUGGGGCAAACUGAGAAGAUUAAGCAAUCUUUCUGCAGGUGGAGAUGGCAUCUGGAUAACAGACGGAGAUGCAGAGGUCCUGGAGCAGGUGCUGGCGAUACGAGUGCGAGGGGACAACAGAGUGAAACAGGCUGCUCCAGACAGCUGAGCCAUGACCCAUCCAGUAGCUGUUGAACCUGCUGCAGAGCCUACAGCCCAAGUGGAGCCGUACAGUGCCCAAACCAGCUUCCGAAUGAUGGAUGUGCAAGAUCAACUACUACCCAUCGCCGACCCUGACUUUAAUCAAGAGUAGGACCAAGUCCUCUCGAGUAUUCUUAGAAGCUAUGCAAGAUCCAGCAGUCAAGAAGUACCAAGAGAGACUUUUCUCGGACUCAUAAAUUGGUUGAAAUAUGGGACUGAAAAAGGGACACAAGUUGAGUAAAGGUUGAAGCUGCUGCAGAGAAAUGUCAACCUUGAAGCUACCAAAGGACAUUUCAAAGCCCACACUGAGAAGUCUGUUCAGAAAAAGAAGUUGCACCUGACCAAGAUGAAACCCAAAAUUGGGAAUUAAUUGUUUAAUCGUGUUAUUUUUAAUGUCACUAAUGGUGUUGUGUAAUCGAUGUAUGUAUUAUGUGUCUCUACUGAUGUGUUUUAUGCCUUACUUUCAUUUUCCUGUAAUUAGGCUGGUUUUUAAGUUUCUUGAGUAUUCUGUUUAGGAUACUGUGUAGUAUGAUUUGCAGAUGAAGAGGAAUCACUUUGUCUUAAAUUAAUUGACUAAGAGAAAUGGAAUCUUGGGAGAAUGUUAUGUUGAUAACUGAGGUUUUUGGUAGAAGGAAGGGCUUAUUCAUUUGAGCAACAACUGUGUGGGAUCUUUAUACAAAUUCUUAUGUUCUAUGUAGAGCUUGCUUUUACGUAUGUUAGCAUAAAAACAGCGCACGCAUUAGUUUUCACGUUUUUUGUUGUUCUUUAGUCGUGGGGUCUUUUUAGGUGGUACCUCUAGGUACAACAGGGGGGAAUGUGGUGGAUUUUUGUGUGAUAUGUAUAACUAUGUAACUAUAUACACUAUAUAUCUAUGUGCACUGAAGAUAUAUUGCUUCACCGAGGUUUAUUAAGUUGGUACAUUAACAGGGCAGUUAAUGUAAGGGGAGAGUUCUCCUGAAUAAUUUACUCUCCGGUAACUAACCUUUCCUAAUACACACUCAACGUCUUUAACGCAGCACAACCAAAACAGUAACAUUGUAACAGAGAUCCUGAACACAUCACGAUAAAAUAUCAUACAAAAUACACACACACACACGCACACUUUGAACCCAAACUGAAGUGUUUUUUAUAUGUUAUAAGAUUGUGCCACUUGCUGUAUAAGAUUUAAUAAUUAGGAUUAAUGUCUGACCUUUGACCGUGUCAUGACCUAUUGUGAUAAGCCAGAGCAAGGGGUACUCAGAGUCCUGACUGGCCUUUGGCCAAGACCUUGGCCGCUACCUGACCCCAGCAGCUGUGCUGGGCGUGUGGGAAAGUUACCCAGCAGCAGGGGGCGGGGAUACUGGUCCCUAUAUUAGGGGACGAGAGGACACCCCCAGAGCUUUUUUUCCUCCUGCUGCUGCUUCCUGUCCAUCUCUGUGUUGCUCUGCUGUCUGUGCUUAAGGCUGUACACCCCGGGGUUUUGCUUUGCUUGCUUUCUGCUAUGUAAUUCUCUUGCUAAAUGUCUGUAUGUAUUUUUCCUGCUGUUCAUAUGAUUCAGUGUAUUAAACUCUGUUCUAAGAAUUCUACUCUUUUACAGAGCAUCUUUUUGAGUGUCUUGAUUUUAAUUGGAUCUAAGAGGGUUGGAUCUCCACAUCGUUGGUGGGAGAAGGUUAUCAGGAUGGCUUCAAAAUUUGCGACCACACGAACCGGGGCUUCUCAUUGAGAAGAGCGUGUCAAUUGCAUUCAGAGACCAGUUGAUCAAAUCCAUAAUUCUCUCUUAGGUUUUAGAAACAGACUGUGAGAGAGUGUUCCAGGGAAAAGUAAAAAACACGAGACAAGACAAAGACAUAAGAAGCUAAGCAGGGAAGAUAAGGGAGAGGAGAAAAAUGCGACUGCCUUCGCCGAGAGCCAAACGAGAAAAAAAAAGGAAGAAGAACUGAAGCUUCUUCGAUGAGACGUGAAACGUUUUCAAGAAACUUAGAGAAGUCCAGACGCUUUUCUUUCCGAGCUCCUCUGUGAGACGUAUGCACAUAGACAAUCUUUCAAGUGUUGCACAUUUUAUCAUUGCUUUUUAAAAACUGUGACUUGUGCAAUUUGGGCUUCUACUCAAGCUUGACUACUGAGAACCUUGCCAACUGUUUAUAUUUCCC
ensembl:lncRNA